AGUGGAAGCCAGCUGUGUGUGAGCAGAGUGAGCAGAGGAGAGCUGCAUGAGAAGCUGAAUCAAGCCAGCGACUAAGAGCCAACAGAUAAGGGACGUACCAGUUUUUGGGAGCUCGUCGGGGAUCUUUUCUUUGCACGUUUUUCAUUGUCUGUUGCGGUAAAUCUGAGGAACAGCGCCCAGUGAGAAUACUGAGAGACACGGCUUGUUCACAGUCACUGAUCCUGACGCCUUGUUUGCUUCGGUCCUUUCUGGGGAAAGUGGGACCUCUGGUGGUGGACCCGUAAGCUGUACUUCAGCUGAGCCUGGUGAAAAGGUUACAGAUACAGUUUUGGUGCCUGAUACUGCUGCACCCUUGCCGCUUACAUGGGAGGCUCUCAUUAAAGCUCAGAUAAAUGAUCCCUCACUAGACAAGUGUUGGGAGGUCAGUUGUCAAUAACUGAGAGUGUAAUAGAAAACUGGAAUUCUUUGUGGAGAAUGGUAUGUUGACGAGUAGCUGGUCUCACGGUCAGUAUUGUAUGUUUAUAUGGUGUUCAUGAAGUCAGUGCUUACCUGGAUAAUGAUUCAAUUGUUGAAGUCUUGUGAUUGAAGCAAGAGCUUUAAA